rnacentral:rRNA from 1 species
UACGCCGGUCCCCCGCUUUCUCCUUCUUUCUUUUUUUUCCCUUUUUCUUCUUCUUUCUAUUAAUUCAUUUUUUAAAUCUCCGAGCCUAACUCGGAAAUUGCCAUUGAUACUGAUGGUCUUGAGUACAUUUGAAGUGGGCGGAAUGUGUCAUGUAGCGGUGAAAUGCUUAGAUAUGACACAGAACACCGAUUGCGUAGGCAGCUCACUAAACUGUAACUGACGCUGAGGCACGAAAGCGUGGGGAGCAAACAGG